AUACAGGGCAUUUUAUGCUCUGUAAUUGGAAUGAUGGGAAUGUAAAACCCUUCCAGAGUAACAAUUGGAGGGCAAGUCUGGUGCCAGCAGCCGCGGUAAUUCCAGCUCCAAUAGUGUAUAUUAGAGUUGUUGCAGUUAAAAAGCUCGUAGUUGGAUUUCUGCUGUGGUCAUCCGGUACCGCCCGUACGGGUGCGCACCUGGUUUGGCUGCGGCUUUCUUCCUGUAGCCGUCCGCGCUUAAUUGCGUGUGGUGUGUUGCGGAACUUUUACUUUGAGAAAAAUAGAGUGUUUCAAGCAGGCUUGUCGCCCUGAAUACUUCAGCAUGGAAUAAUAGGAUAGGACCUUGGUUCUAUUUUGUUGGUUUCUAGGACCAAGGUAAUGAUUAAUAGGGACA
rnacentral:rRNA from 1 species